rnacentral:rRNA from 1 species
GAUGAACGCUAGCUACAGGCUUAACACAUGCAAGUCGAGGGGCAGCACGGGCUUAGCUUGCUAAGCCCGAUGGCGACCGGCGCACGGGUGAGUAACACGUAUCCAACCUUCCGGUAACUCCGGUAUAGCCUUUCGAAAGAAAGAUUAAUCCCGGAUAGUAUGGUGAUUCCGCAUGGUUUCUCCAUUAAAGGAUUCCGGUUACCGAUGGGGAUGCGUUCCAUUAGGCAGUUGGCGGGGUAACGGCCCACCAAACCUACGAUGGAUAGGGGUUCUGAGAGGAAGGUCCCCCACAUUGGAACUGAGACACGGUCCAAACUCCUACGGGAGGCAGCAGUGAGGAAUAUUGGUCAAUGGGCGGAAGCCUGAACCAGCCAAGUAGCGUGAAGGAUGACUGCCCCUAUGGGUUGUAAACUUCUUUUAUAAGGGAAUAA